UUUGCAUUUUCUCCAAUAGCGGAGGAAAAGAAACCAACAGGGAUUGCCUCAGUAACGGCGAGUGAAGCGGCAACAGCUCAAAUUUGAAAUCUGGCCUCUUGGGGUCCGAGUUGUAAUUUGUAGAGGAUGUUUCGGGUACCGCCUCGGUUUAAAUUUCUUGGAACAGAAUGUCAAAGAGGGUGAGAAUCCCGUCUUGGACCGGCGGUAGGGCCUAUGUGAAACUCCUUCGACGAGUCGAGUUGUUUGGGAAUGCAGCUCAAAAUGGGUGGUAAAUUUCAUCUAAAGCUAAAUAUUGGCCAGAGACCGAUAGCGCACAAGUAGAGUGAUCGAAAGAUGAAAAGCACUUUGAAAAGAGAGUUAAACAGUAUGUGAAAUUGUUGAAAGGGAAGCGCUUGCAACCAGACUUGAGCGCGGCGGUUCCCCCUUGCUUCUGCUUGGGUUACUCCGCCGUGUCCAGGCCAACAUCGGUUCUGGGGGUCGGUCAAAGGCUCUGGGAAUGUAUCUACCCACGGGUAGACUUAUAGACCAGGGUGUCAUGCGACCUCCCGGGACCGAGGAACGCGCUUCGGCUCGGAUGUUGGCGUAAUGGUUGUCAGCGACCCGUCUUGAACCCCCGGACCAAA
rnacentral:rRNA from 1 species